UACGGAGGAUCCAAGCGUUAUCCGGAUUCAUUGGGUUUAAAGGGUCCGUAGGCGGGUCUUUAAGUCAGUGGUGAAAGCCGACAGCUCAACUGUCGAACUGCCAUUGAUACUGAUAGGCUUGAGUUAUUGUGAAGUGGUUAGAAUGUGUGGUGUAGCGGUGAAAUGCAUAGAUAUGACUCAGAACACCGAUUGCGAAGGCAGCUUACUAACAUGUAACUGACGCUGAGGGACGAAAGCGUGGGGAGCGAACAGG
rnacentral:rRNA from 1 species